rnacentral:rRNA from 1 species
GUCGAGCGAACAGACGAGGAGCUUGCUUCUCUGACGUUAGCGGCGGACGGGUGAGUAACACGUGGAUAACCUACCUAUAAGACUGGGAUAACUUCGGGAAACCGGAGCUAAUACCGGAUAAUAUAUUGAACCGCAUGGUUCAAUAGUGAGAGACGGUUUUGCUGUCACUUAUAGAUGGAUCCGCGCCGCAUUAGCUAGUUGGUAAGGUAACGGCUUACCAAGGCAACGAUGCGUAGCCGACCUGAGAGGGUGAUCGGCCACACUGGAACUGAGACACGGUCCAGACUCCUACGGGAGGCAGCAGUAGGGAAUCUUCCGCAAUGGGCGAAAGCCUGACGGAGCAACGCCGCGUGAGUGAUGAAGGUCUUCGGAUCGUAAAACUCUGUUAUUAGGGAAGAACAAAUGUGUAAGUAACUAUGCACGUCUUGACGGUACCUAAUCAGAAAGCCACGGCUAACUACGUGCCAGCAGCCGCGGUAAUACGUAGGUGGCAAGCGUUAUCCGGAAUUAUUGGGCGUAAAGCGCGCGUAGGCGGUUUUUUAAGUCUGAUGUGAAAGCCCACGGCUCAACCGUGGAGGGUCAUUGGAAACUGGAAAACUUGAGUGCAGAAGAGGAAAGUGGAAUUCCAUGUGUAGCGGUGAAAUGCGCAGAGAUAUGGAGGAACACCAGUGGCGAAGGCGACUUUCUGGUCUGUAACUGACGCUGAUGUGCGAAAGCGUGGGGAUCAAACAGGAUUA